rnacentral:rRNA from 1 species
ACCAUGGUUGUAACGGGUAACGGGGAAUCAGGGUUCGAUUCCGGAGAAGGAGCAUGAGAAAUGGCUACCACAUCUACGGAAGGCAGCAGGCGCGCAAAUUACCCACUCCUAGAUCGGGGAGGUAGUGGCGAAAAAUAACAAUACCGGACUCUAUGAGGCUCGGUAAUUGAAAUGAGUACAGUUUAAAACCCUUAACGAGGAUCUAUUGGAGGGCAAGUCUGGUACCAGCAGCCGCGGUAAUUCCAGCUCCAAUAGCGUAUAUUAAAGUUGUUGCAGUUUAAAAGCUCGUAGUUGGAUCUCGGGCACCAGUUGGUGGUACGCUUUAUUGCUGUUACUGCCUGUCUGGUCCUAAUCAAUCGGUUGGCCGUUGACGCCCUUUAUUGGGUGUUUUCGGUAGCCGGUUCGUUUACUUUGAGAAAAUUAGAGUGCUUAAAGCAGGCCUUACGCCUGAAUAAUGUUGCAUGGAAUAAUAGAAUAGGACCUCGGUUCUAUUUUGUUGUUUUGUAGAGCAUUGAGGUAAUGAUUAAUAGGGACAGACGGGGGCAUUCGUAUUGCGGUGUUAGAGGUGAAAUUCUUGGAUCGCCGCAAGACGAACAACUGCGAAAGCAUUUGCCAAGAAUGUUUUCAUUAAUCAAGAACGAAAGUUGGAGGUUCGAAGACGAUUAGAUACCGUCCUAGUUCCAACCAUAAACGAUGCCAACUAGCGAUUAGCUGCUGUUAAUUAAACGACACAGCUAGCAGCUUCCGGGAAACCAAAGUUUUUGGGUUCCGGGGGAAGUAUGGUUGCAAAGCUGAAACUUAAAGGAAUUGACGGAAGGGCACCACCAGGAGUGGAGCCUGCGGCUUAAUUUGACCCAACACGGGAAAUCUCACCCGGCCCGGACACUGUAAGGAUUGACAGAUUGAGAGCUCUUUCUUGAUUCGGUGGGUGGUGGUGCAUGGCCGUUCUUAGUUGGUGGAGCGAUUUGUCUGGUUAAUUCCGAUAACGAACGAGACUCUAGCCUGCUAAAUAGUACGAAGGUCUUUAGCCUUCGCGUACUUCUUAGAGGGACAAGUGGCGAUAAGUCACACGAAAUUGAGCAAUAACGUCUGUGAUGCCCUUAGAUGUUCGGGGCCGCACGCGCGCUACACUGAAACGAUAAGCGUGUUUUUCCUGCUCCGAAAGGAGUGGGUAACCCGCUGAAACCGUUUCGUGAUUGGGAUCGGGGCUUGAAAUUAUCCUCCGUGAACGAGGAAUUCCCAGUAAGCGCAAGUCAUAAGCUUGCGUUGAUUACGUCCCUGCCCUUUGUACACACCGCCCGUCGCUACUACCGAUUGAAUGGUUUAGUGAGAUCUUCGGAUUGGUCCGGAGGUGGCCGCAAGGUUGCCUCUAGGUACUGAGAAGAUG